rnacentral:rRNA from 1 species
UGCGAGUGAUAAGAUCCGUAGUCGAAAGGGAAACAGCCCAGACCACCAGUUAAGGUCCCCAAAUAUAUGUUAAGUGGAAAAGGAUGUGGGGUUGCUUAGACAACCAGGAUGUUGGCUUAGAAGCAGCCACCAUUGAAAGAGUGCGUAAUAGCUCACUGGUCGAGUGACCCCGCGCCGAAAAUGUACCGGGGCUAAACAUAUUACCGAAACUGUGGAUGAACCUCUUCGGAGGUUCGUGGUAGGAGAGCGUUCUAAGGGCGGUGAAGUCAGACCGGAAGGACUGGUGGAGCGCUUAGAAGUGAGAAUGCCGGUAUGAGUAGCGAAAGAAGGGUGAGAAUCCCUUCCACCGAAUAUCUAAGGUUUCCUGAGGAAGGCUCGUCCGCUCAGGGUUAGUCGGGACCUAAGCCGAGGCCGAUAGGCGUAGGCGAUGGACAACAGGUAGAGAUUCCUGUACCAGUGCUAAUUGUUUAACCGAUGGGGUGACACAGAAGGAUAGGGAAUCGCACGAAUGGAAAUGUGCGUCCAAGCAGUGAGUGUGAGAAGUAGGCAAAUCCGCUUCUUGCGAAGCAUGAGCUGUGAUGGGGAAGGAAAUUAAGUACGGAAGUUCCUGAUUUCACGCUGUCAAGAAAAGCCUCUAGGAAGAGUAGUACUGCCCGUACCGCAAACCGACACAGGUAGAUGAGGAGAGAAUCCUAAGGUGAGCGAGAGAACUCUCGUUAAGGAACUCGGCAAAAUGACCCCGUAACUUCGGGAGAAGGGGUGCUCUAUUAGGGUGCAAGCCCGAGAGAGCCGCAGUGAAUAGGCCCAGGCGACUGUUUAGCAAAAACACAGGUCUCUGCAAAACCGUAAGGUGACGUAUAGGGGCUGACGCCUGCCCGGUGCUGGAAGGUUAAGAGGAGUGCUUAGCUUCGGCGAAGGUACGAAUUGAAGCCCCAGUAAACGGCGGCCGUAACUAUAACGGUCCUAAGGUAGCGAAAUUCCUUGUCGGGUAAGUUCCGACCCGCACGAAAGGCGCAACGAUCUGGGCACUGUCUCAACGAGAGACUCGGUGAAAUUAUAGUACCUGUGAAGAUGCAGGUUACCCGCGACAGGACGGAAAGACCCCGUGGAGCUUUACUGCAACCUGAUAUGGAAUGUUUGUACCGCUUGUACAGGAUAGGUAGGAGCCGAAGAGACGUGUGCGCUAGCAUACGAGGAGGCAAUGGUGGGAUACUACCCUGGCUGUAUGACCAUUCUAACCCGCCACGCUAAGCGCGUGGGGAGACAGUGUCAGGUGGGCAGUUUGACUGGGGCGGUCGCCUCCUAAAGAGUAACGGAGGCGCCCAAAGGUUCCCUCAGAAUGGAUGGAAAUCAUUCGCAGAGUGUAAAGGCACAAGGGAGCUUGACUGCGAGACUGACAAGUCGAGCAGGGACGAAAGUCGGGCUUAGUGAUCCGGUGGUUCCGCAUGGAAGGGCCAUCGCUCAACGGAUAAAAGCUACCCCGGGGAUAACAGGCUUAUCUCCCCCAAGAGUCCACAUCGACGGGGAGGUUUGGCACCUCGAUGUCGGCUCGUCGCAUCCUGGGGCUGUAGUCGGUCCCAAGGGUUGGGCUGUUCGCCCAUUAAAGCGGCACGCGAGCUGGGUUCAGAACGUCGUGAGACAGUUCGGUCCCUAUCCGUCGCGGGCGCAGGAAAUUUGAGAGGAGCUGUCCUUAGUACGAGAGGACCGGGAUGGACACACCGCUGGUGUACCAGUUGUUCCGCCAGGAGCAUCGCUGGGUAGCUAUGUGUGGCAGGGAUAAACGCUGAAAGCAUCUAAGCGUGAAGCCCCCCUCAAGAUGAGAUUUCCCAUUUCUUCGGAAAGUAAGAUCCCUGAAAGAUGAUCAGGUAGAUAGGUUUGGAGUGGAAGUGUAGCGAUACAUGGAGCGGACAAAUACUAAUCGAUCGAG